AUUUUCUCAUUUUCAUUUUAGUCUCUAAUUAUUGUAUUUAUUGAGAUAUUAUCUACAUAUUUUUUAUGUACUUGUUGAAUCAUAAGAGCUACUGUAUGCUUAUUCUAAUAAUUUGAAGAGGAAUUGUUAUAAACAUUGAGGAGAGAGAAAAUUUUUUUAUUUUAAUCCCUAUUUUUGUAAUGAAACCGUCAAAGGCUAUUGUUUUAGGUUCCAUGUACAG
rnacentral:misc_RNA from 1 species